GGCUCCGUAGCUUAAUUGGAUAAAGCAUCUGACUACGAAUCAGAAGAUUACAGGUUCGAGUCCUGUCGGAGUCACCA
rnacentral:tRNA from 1 species